UGUUCUUGGGUCAAGGGAGGUUAUAUUUGAGUGCAUGGGACCCUAAGGAUUGUUUUUGACGUAAGAAAACGAAGCUUUAACGUCCAAAACGAAAAUCCAAAAUUUUGGACUCCAUUAAAGACGGUACACCGCCAACGAAGAAGACAACCCCGAUCUGCCUUCUCGGACCACUUUUCUUGAUCGUUUUGAGGUCCUGAGCAUUGUGGAGAGCUUCCCCAAUCGAAAGGACGCUUCAAGAGCAAUCGGAGACAAAGUUACACUUUACCGGCGACGAAACCGACGAGAACGCCGGCGACCGCGUUCUGACCGUUUCUGAGGAUCUUGUUCUCAACAAGGAAAUUCGUUGAGGUGCUCGAGGUAGCAAGUGUGGUCUUAGCAACUGAGGUAAGAAGAGUGGACAUCUGUACACAGGGUGUAUGUUAUGCAUACAACUUGGGUUGGUUUGUUAUUUAAUUUGAUAGUGUUGUGAUUUCCUUAUAUUUUGUGAGCAUCAUUAGCAUGAGAAUAAUAUUAGGGUCUUGCUGCUUGUGUGAGCAUAACACUUGCAGGUUAUAACAUUAUCAUGGGUGAGUACAACUUAUGGUAAUUAAUUGCCCUAUUGGAUGCCAAGUGUGAGAAUAACACAAGGCAGGGUAGGUUACCUCAUGUCUGAUCAACAUGAGAGAAUAGUUGAUUAUCGUAUGUGAGUAUAAUGUGCGGUAUGAGACUUGAUGUGUGCAUGUAAGAACAACAUGCGUUGUGGAUAUAUUUAUGGAAUGUGAAUUACUGUUGAUUAAUAUAAAAGAGCAAAUUAUGUCAAGUAACUAGUUAGGAGGGUUAUGUCCUACAUAGCUCUUCUUACUGGGCGUUAGCUCACGGGUACUCUGUGUGCAGGUAAGGGUAAGGCUAAGCAGUGAGAAUGAAGAGCUCGAGGCGUGGACCGCAUGUUAGGGGGGCUGGCACAGUAUUUUGCUUUUAAUGUUUUUAACUGCUAAACAUUUUGGAACUAUUAUUUUGACUUAACUAGUUCUUAUUUAAGUUUACAGUACUAAAAGAAUUUUGUUUUAAACAAUGAGAUCUCAUGCUUGGAUAUUUUUCAAUAAAGAAGUAUUUGUUUGUCUUUA